ACAUACGACCAUACCCACUGGAGAACUCGGGAUCCCGUCCGCUCUCCCAUAGAUAAGCCAGUGAGGGCCGGAUUAGUAGUUGGGUCGGUGACGACCAGCGAAUAGCUGGUGUUGUAUGUU
rfam:Colletotrichum higginsianum, IMI 349063, WGS project CACQ02000000 data, contig: cont1.2986